rnacentral:lncRNA from 1 species
UGUGCUCACCAAAUUGAAAGCAAUUGGAAAUAAAAUAAAAGCAACCCUUGUUCCAGUGGGCCCUUCCCAAGGGAAUUGAAAUUAGAAUUCUUCCCAAAACUAGUUGAAUAAUCGUGCCUCUCACCAAGCUAUUAACGUCCUGUGCUUCCUAAUGCAACAAGCUAGACUUCUUCUCUCAACUAUCAUGCAUACUUCCAUCAAAUCAACUCUUCACCCUCAAACAAAUGCAAGAAAGGACAAG